UAACGCGUGAGUAACCUGCCUCUAAGAGGGGAAUAACAUUCUGAAAAGAAUGCUAAUACCGCAUAACAUAUAUUUAUCGCAUGGUAGAUAUAUCAAAGAUUUAUCGCUUAGAGAUGGACUCGCGUCCGAUUAGUUAGUUGGUGAGGUAACGGCUCACCAAGACUGCGAUCGGUAGCCGGACUGAGAGGUUGAACGGCCGCAUUGGGACUGAGACACGGCCCAG
rnacentral:rRNA from 1 species